UUGUAGCCAACUAAGAUGAUCAUUGCUCUCUUCAUGGGAGCCUGAUGAGCAUCGGUUGCAAACACUAAUCUCCAUGAUAGUAUCCACCGCCUGCUGACAAUAUGGGUUGCCCUAAGAGACCUUGGAGACAAAU